AUUGAACGCUGGCGGCAGGCCUAACACAUGCAAGUCGAACGGUAACAGGAAACAGCUUGCUGUUUCGCUGACGAGUGGCGGACGGGUGAGUAAUGUCUGGGAAACUGCCUGAUGGAGGGGGAUAACUACUGGAAACGGUAGCUAAUACCGCAUAACGUCGCAAGACCAAAGAGGGGGACCCUCGGGCCUCUUGCCAUCGGAUGUGCCCAGAUGGGAUUAGCUUGUUGGUGGGGUAACGGCUCACCAAGGCGACGAUCCCUAGCUGGUCUGAGAGGAUGACCAGCCACACUGGAACUGAGACACGGUCCAGACUCCUACGGGAGGCAGCAGUGGGGAAUAUUGCACAAUGGGCGCAUGCCUGAUGCAGCCAUGCCGCGUGUAUGAAGAAGGCCUUCGGGUUGUAAAGUACUUUCAGCGGGGAGGAAGGGAGUAAAGUUAAUACCUUUGCUCAUUGACGUUACCCGCAGAAGAAGCACCGGCUAACUCCGUG
rnacentral:rRNA from 1 species